AGGAGACACUUUCUCAUAUGAACAUUUCAGAUGCAGAGAUGAGUGUUUCUAGUAACAAAAAUUUGCAACAACUUUAAGAGCCAAGGAUGGGAGAUGGCUGCAUGGAUGAUGGCAUGCUCACAGAAAAAGAAGUUGGAAUGAUCUAUCAGUCAACAAAAACAUGCAUGUGUUGUGAGCAUUGGAAUAUGUCCCUCCCCUCCAGCCUACAUCAUAACUACAGAGGAGUUAGCGACCUUCCACUUCUUAAGUCCUGCCAUGGGCUUGUCAGGCCAGCACCGGAGCACCAAGGCUGGAUGGAAAGAGCGUCCAGACCCACAGGGACCUGGUUGUCAGAUGCACCGGUCUCACUAUGGGAGCUGUCCCCACCUGCUCUGCCUGAAGACCCACUCCCCACAACGGCCCUGCCCCAAACUGCACCAGCCAGUCCCAGCUGCUAAGGGCCCAGGCGAGCACAGUCUUCCAUGCCGACCGGUGCAGGUGCACUUACCCGCGUCCCUCUCCCCGCUGCCCAGGAGAAUGAGGACAAUGUGAUGCUCAGCCGCUGAGGCCAAUCCAGGGAGCCUGCCUUGAUCUCUGCGAUCAGGAAUGUGGCUGAGCAGAUGCAGCUUCUACCUCCAAAUGGACACGCCUCUCAGAUGCUCUGUUGCUAGAAGGGUCCUGGCAGUGCAGGGAAAGGUGGCUCUGCACUGGAGGCUCUACAUAAAGGGCUCAAAACUUCUGGUCCAGUGGCUAAAAGCUGUUCACAGGGAUGAUUGGCCCCUACUAAGCAUUCUUUCAUCUGUAGUGAACAUUUUACCAAAAAAAACUCUUGGACAGGCUGGAGGAUCAGUACUACAUGCUCAAGCCCAUGGCCUUGCCCUCCAACUUCCACCUGACUGAGAAGGAGGAGCUGAAGGCCGUAGCCACGCAGGAGAAAUGACAUCAAGAUAGCCGCCGGGGGCCUGAGGAACAUGUGAGUGAAGCAGAUGGGAAAGGAGCUUCAGGUUCAUCCUCAUCCUCGAGGGAAAACCUGAGGGCCCAGCCAGGGUCCCGCAAGUUGAAGCGAGCCUCUCUGCAGGGCGAACCCGCACCCAGUGCCACCCAGGAUGCCACCAGUCAGGCGCGGGCACAGAGUCUCUGGAAGGAACUCCAGGAGACAGUGUGGCCUCCACAGUGUGUGGCAGCCUGGGAGAUGCAAACACGUCUGCUGUAGAUGCUGGCGAUGAGACUCCCUCUGCCCAGCC